UAAAAUAUAAGUUUUUCAAAUUGAUUUGAAAAUGUUGCACUUUUUGACAAAAUAUCGGUCAAAACAUCGGUAAUCGGUGGGCUAGGACUCCCCAAAAUCAGGAUUGGCACCGGACCCAAAAAUCUGGCAUCGGUCGGGUUCUAUUAUGUACUGUUGGCCAUGCUCAAUUUUUGUCAUCUCCCUUCACAACAGGUGAAAAGAAAACAAUUGCAUCAUACAAAGACAGCGUGCAGCACAGCAUGCAGCAUAACGUAAGUACAUCAAAACUGUCACUGGGAAUUAAAUUUGAUUUGAUUCCAAAUUUAUCAAAUUAACCCACUUCCAUGUGUGCCAACUUGGUCUGCCUCCUUGUCUGGGCCAUGACUUAUUUGAGGGUAUCGUCGCAUAUGACUUCGCUCUAUACCUAAGUCAUUUUGUCACAAAUCAGAAAUUCUUCACGUAUAGAGAACUGAAUGGACAGCUUAAUCACUUCAGGUACCUCGGCGAUGACGCCAGCAAUAAGCCAUGCGAAAUGAAUCCAGGAAGUGAGAAAUUGAGUGGACAUGCUGUCCAGAAUUGGUGUUUCCUUAGACUUCUGCCUCUCUUGAUUGGGGACAAAAUUUAAAAUCCAGUUGAAAAUGAAGUUUGGCAAUUUGUGUUGCUGCUAAGGCAAAAAGUUGAAAUUGUUUGUGCUCCUGCCAUUGCAACUAGUCAGAUGGCCUACUUGAAAGUCCUUAUUGAGGAGUAUUUGCCGAGUCGACAGUAUUGUUUUCCUAAUCACCCACUUAAGCCGAAACAUCAUGUAACCCGUUAGAAAAAUAGCAACGUUUUAAAAGAGUCCUGUAGCUUUAAGAAAAGGGAGGCUCCCUACCUAACUGUUAGGAGGACUUGUUUUGCGUCCCUAAUUAGUUUUAUUGGCUGUAACAGGCAGUAAUGUCUUAAGAUCAUUCUGGAAAAUAGUUAGCCCCGCCCACUCCCAGGGACUUGGUUGAGACUGUUUGUCGCACAGCAAGAGGGGAGAACGGGAGAAAGAAAAAGACGAUUAGAAGUAAAAAAUCAUAAUCGUUAAUUUAAGCAGUAAACCUAAAGAGUAGCUCCGUAAAUGACCCACGGACCAAAUAUUUUCCAGAUCGCACACUUCAAUCUCUUUCCUUGGGAUCUUGGCUGGGUUUUUUGGAUACCUGAGAAGAAACCUGUGAACCUAGGAUUCUCUCCCUGACGAGGGAGAUGGUGAGCCGACCAGCUUGAUCAACUUGAUUCAUCUUCAUCCAUUGAGGAAGAACCCCCUGAUACCCCUUGUUUCUCCCAACCCCACUCUGGUGUGGUAGGAUUGUGAUUGAGAAAUUACACAAUUUUAUUUGAUACUUUAUUUUUUGUAAAAAGGGUACACCCAACCAACAAUACUGACUUGAAACUAACUAAAUUGAACUUGACCAAUUGAACGGAACCAGACUGAACAGAAGACAUUCAGAACUGAAUGGACAUUGAAUACAGUUACAACACUCAGGACAUUGAUAUGAAGACAAAUGAAUGUGUUUGAAUGUGAUAAGCUUUACAUAUUGUCAUUACGUUUUCUUUAAUACAGUUCUAACCAUUUUGCACUUAC